rnacentral:rRNA from 1 species
AUUGAACGCUGGCGGCAGGCCUAACACAUGCAAGUCGAACGAGUGGCGGACGGGUGAGUAAUGUCUGGGAAACUGCCCGAUGGAGGGGGAUAACUACUGGAAACGGUAGCUAAUACAGCAUACCAUCGGAUGUGCCCAGAAUGGAUUAGCUUGUAGGUUAGGUAACGGCUAACCAAGGCGACGAUCCCUAGCUGGUCUGAGAGGAUGACCAGCCAGACUGGAACUGAGACACGGUCCAGAAUCCUACGGGAGGCAGAAGUUGGGAAUAUUGCACAAUGGGCGAAAGCCUGAUGCAGCAAUGCCGCGUGUAUGAAGAAGGCCUUCGGUUUGUAAAGUACUUUCAGCGGGGAGGCGUUACCCGCAGAAGAAGCACCGGCUAACUCCGUGCCAGCAGCCGCGGUAAUUC